rnacentral:rRNA from 1 species
UGGCUCAGAAUGAACGCUGGCGGCGUGCCUAACACAUGCAAGUCGAACGAGAACGGAAGUCUUCGGAUUUCUUAGUAAAGUGGCGCACGGGUGAGUAACGCGUGGGUAAUCUACCCUUUUGUCUGGGAUAACGUUCCGAAAGGAGCCCUAAUACCGGAUAAGACCACGGGGACUUAGGUUUCUGGGGUCAAAGGCCCUGCAAGGGGUUGCAAGAGGAUGAGCCUGCGUGACAUUAGAUUGAUGGUGGGGUAAUGGCCUACCAUAUUGUCAACGAUGUCUAGCUGGUCUGAGAGGAUGAUCAGCCACACUGGGACUGGAACACGGCCCAGACUCCUACGGGAGGCAGCAGUGAGGAAUUUUGCGCAAUGGGGGCAACCCUGACGCAGCAACGCCGCGUGAGUGACGAAGGCCUUUUGGUUGUAAAGCUCUGUCGCCUGGAAAGAAACCUACGUAUAGGAAAUGAUAUGUAGCUGACGGUACCAGGAAAGGAAGGACCGGCUAACUCCGUGCCAGCAGCCGCGGUAAUACGGGGGGUCCAAGCGUUAUUCGGAAUCAUUGGGUGUAAAGCGCAUGCAGGCGGUUGGGUAUGUCAGAUGUGAAAGCUCAGGGCUUAACCCUGAAAGUGCAUUUGAAACUGCCCGGCUUGAGUCUCGGAGAGGAAGGUGGAAUUCCCAGUGUAGAGGUGGAAUUCGUAGAUAUUGGGAGGAACACCGGUGGCGAAAGCGACCUUCUGGACGAAGACUGACGCUCAGAUGCGAAAGCGUGGGUAGCAAACAGGAUUAGAUACCCUGGUAGUCCACGUCGUAAACGAUGGGUACUAGGUGUCGGGGGUAUUGACCCCCUCGGUGCCGAAGCUAACGCAUUAAGUACCCCACCUGGGGACUACGGCCGCAAGGCUAAAACUCAAAGGAAUUGACG